UAGCGUAUAUUUAAGUUGUUGCAGUUAAAAAGCUCGUAGUUGGAUUUUGGUUAAGAGGCCGCGGUCGGCCGUUUGGUCUGUACUGCGUUGUCUUGACUUCCUGAUGAGGACAUGCUCUUGGUUAACGCUGAGACAUGGAGUCAUCGUGGUUACUUUGAAAAAAUUAGAGUGUUCAAAGCGGGCUUACGCUUGAAUAUAUUAGCAUGGAAUAACACUAUAGGACUCCUGUCCUAUCUCGUUGGUCUCGGGAUGGGAGUAAUGAUUAAGAGGAACAGUUGGGGGCAUUCGUAUUUCAUUGUCAGAGGUGAAAUUCUUGGAUUUAUGAAAGACGAACUUCUGCGAAAGCAUUUGCCAAGGAUGUUUUCAUUAAUCAAGAACGAAAGUUGGGGGCUCGAAGAUGAUUAGAUACCAUCCUAGUCUCAACCAUAAACGAUGCCGACUAGGGAUUGGUGGAUGUUAAUUGAUGACUUCACCAGCACCUUAUGAGAAAUCAAAGUUUUUGGGUUCCGGGGGGAGUAUGGUCGCAAGGCUGAAACUUAAAGGAAUUGA
rnacentral:rRNA from 1 species